CUGACACUGAGGAGCGAAAGCGUGGGGAGCGAACAGGAUUAGAUACCCUGGUAGUCCACGCCGUAAACGGUGGGCGCUAGUUGUGCGAACCUUCCACGGUUUGUGCGACGCAGCUAACGCAUUAAGCGCCCCGCCUGGGGAGUACGAUCGCAAGAUUAAAACUCAAAGGAAUUGACGGGGCCCCGCACAAGCAGCGGAGCAUGCGGCUUAAUUCGACGCAACGCGAAGAACCUUACCAAGGCUUGACAUAUACAGGAAUACGGCAGAGAUGUCGUAGCCGCAAGGUCUGUAUACAGGUGGUGCAUGGUUGUCGUCAGCUCGUGUCGUGAGAUGUUGGGUUAAGUCCCGCAACGAGCGCAACCCUCGUUCUGUGUUGCCAGCAUUUAGUUGGGGACUCACAGGAGACUGCCGGGGUUAACUCGGAGGAAGGUGGGGAUGACGUCAAAUCAUCAUGCCCCUUAUGUCUUGGGCUGCACGCAUGCUACAAUGGCUGGUACAAACGGCUGCAAUACCGCAAGGUGGAGCGAAUCCGAGAAAGCCAGUCUCAGUUCGGAUUGGGGUCUGCAACUCGACCCCAUGAAGUCGGAGUUGCUAGUAAUCGUAGAUCAGCAACGCUACGGUGAAUACGUUCCCGGGGCUUGUACACACCGCCCGUCACAUCACGAAAGUCGGUAACACCCAAAAGUCAGUGGCCCAACCGCAAGGAGGGA
rnacentral:rRNA from 1 species